UCUCUCUCUCCCACACCAAAACCACCAUGAAAGCUCAUUUUUGAGCUUGAAGAACCAAAAUCCAACCAUGGCCAAUUGUCCUACCAUAACUAGAAGUUGUUUGGACAACUAGGAAAGAGGAUUCAAAGAAAAGAAAGAAGAAAAAUUUGAAGAAAAGGGAGAAGAAAUUCUGCACACAAGUUGAAAAGAAUAUCGGGAAGGAACCCGAGGAAACGAGUCGAGGCUAAGGGACGACUCGCUUGAGAUAAAAGCAAGGAGAAAGCAGCAGAGUGAGCUGCGGAAUUGACAAGAUCUUUUUGAUCCCUUUUUGUACGGGUAUUAUUUUAUACCCU